CCCUAGCAAACACGUGCGUUAGGGAUUGAACGGCCUGUUUGAGCUCUUUUUGUGUGGUUGCACCUAUGCAACACAAAAAAGCGAGUAGUGAAAGCCCGACCCUUU
rnacentral:sRNA from 1 species